rnacentral:rRNA from 1 species
GUGGGGAAUAUUGGACAAUGGGCGCAAGCCUGAUCCAGCCAUGCCGCGUGAGUGAUGAAGGCCUUCGGGUUGUAAAGCUCUUUAGCCGAUGAUUAUAAUGACUGUAGUCGGAAAAUAAGCCCCGGCUAACUUCGUGCCAGCAGCCGCGGUAAUACGAAGGGGGCGAGCGUUAUUCGGAAUCACUGGGCGUAAAGCGUGCGUAGGCGGCUUUGCAAGUUGGGAGUGAAAGCCAAGGGCUCAACCCUGGAAUUGCUCUCAAAACUGCAAGGCUCGAAUUCGGGAGAGGAUAGCGGAAUUGUCAGUGUAGCAGUGAAAUGCGUAGAUAUUGACAGGAACACCAGUGGCGUAAGCGGCUAUCUGGACCGAUAUUGACGCUGAGGCACGAAAGCGUGGGGAUCAAACAGGAUUAGAUACCCUGGUAGUCC